CCUACGGGGUGCAGCAGUGAGGAAUAUUGGUCAAUGGCCGUAAGGCUGAACCAGCCAAGCCGCGUGAAGGAAGACGGAUCUAUGGUUUGUAAACUUCUUUUAUAGGGGAGUCAAGGUAUCUACGUGUGCAUUUUUGCCUGUACCCUAUGAUUAAGCCUAGGCGAAAUCCGUUCCAGCAGCGGCGGUAAUCCGGAGGAUCCGAGCGUUAUCCGGAUUUAUUGGGUGUAAAGGGUGCGUAGAUUGGUUUUUAAGUCAGCGGUGAAAGUUGGUGGCUCAACCAUAAGAUUGCCGUUGAAACUGGAAGACUUGAGUAUAGUUGAGGUAGGCGGAAUUCGUGGUGUAGCGGUGAAAUGCAUAGAUAUCACGCAGAACUCCGAUUGCGAAGGCAGCUUACUAAGCUAUAACUGACACUGAGGCACGAAAGCGUGGGGAUCAAACAGGAUUAGAUACCCCUGUAGUC
rnacentral:rRNA from 1 species